rnacentral:lncRNA from 10 species
CAAGCUUUUCCUGCUGGUGAGAGGGACGUCACUGAUUGCUGACCUCACCAGAAACGCUGACGCAUCUUUCCUCACGCUUGGCUGGGAUGGUCAGCGGCCAGGCCUCCUCACCUCCGAGCCACUCCCUGUCCUCCUGUGUAUCACUUCACUCUGGAUGCUCCGACAGUGGCCCCAGCCCCUGUGCCCUCCAGCUAUGCCUUCCUCUUGCAGGCUGCAUGGACUGAAUGGUGUCUUCCCUGAACUCAUGUGUUGAAGUCCUAACCAUCGUGUGUCAGAACGUGACUGUAUUUGGAAGUUGAGCCUUUAAAGAAGUAAUUAAGGGCCGGGUGCGGUAGCUCACGCCUGUAAUCCCAGCACUUUGGGAGGCCAUGGCAGGCAGAUCACUUGAGGCCAGGAGUUCGAGACCAGCCUGGCCUACAUGGUGAAACCCCGUCUCUACUAAAAAAAUACAAAAAUUAGCCAGGCAUGGUGGUGGGCACUUGUAGUCCCAGCUACUCGGGAGGCUGAGGCAGAGAAUUGCUUGAACCUGGGAGGCAGAGGUUGCAGUGAGCCAAGCUGGCGCCACUGCACUCCAGCGUGGGUGACAGAGUGAGAUUCCAUCUCAAAAAAAAAAAAAAAAGAAAAGAAAAAAAAAAAGAAGUAAUUAAGGUAAAAUUGGCCAGGUGUGGUAGCACAUACCUGUAAUCCCAGCUACUCUGGAGGCUGAGGCAGGAGGCUCGCUUAAGGCCGGGAGUUCAAGGCUGCAGUGAGCUAUGAAAGCACCACUGUACACUUAAGCCUGGGCAACACAGCAAGACUUUGUCUCGAAAAAGAAAAAAAAAAGGAAUAAUUAAGGUAAAAUGUGAGUGGGCCCUAAUCCAAUGUGAAUGGUGUCCUCAUAAGAAGAGAUAAGGCCAAGCGCGGUGGCUCGCUCCUGUAAUCCCAGCACUUUGGGAGGCUGAGGCAGGUGGAUCACCUGAGGUUAGGAGUUCGAGAUCAGCCUGGACAACAUGGCGAAACCCUGUCUCUACUAAAAAUACAAAAAUUAGCCUGGCGUGGUGGCACACGCCUGUAAUCCCAGCUACUCAGGAGGCUAAGGCAGGAGAAGCGCUUGAACCCAGGUGGCAGAGGUUGUAGUGAGCUGAGAUCGUGCCACUGCACUCCAGCCUGGGUGACGGAGCUAGACUCUGUCUCAAAAAAAAAAAAAAAUCGAUUAGGCCACGGACAAGCAGAAGGAACAUGAUGUGGAGAUACGGGGAGAGACAGUCAUCUACAAGUCAAGGAGAGAGGCCUUGGGAACCAGCCCUUGAUUUCAGACUUCAGCCUCUAGAACUGUGAGAAAAUAAAUCUCUGUUACGUAAGCCCCCCAGUCUGUGGUACUUUGUUAUGGGAGUCCUAGCAAUGUAAUCUACCUGCUCUCCUUACCUUCAGUGACUCUGAGCCCUGGGCCCUGUGCCUGACACCCUCAUUAACUAUGUGCAAAGAGUAUGGUCUUUGGGCCUCGUUUGAAUGCCUUCUUUUCUUGGUGGGUUUUUUGUUUUUUGUUUUUUUUAAACAGGGCCUUGCUCUGUCACCCAGGCUGGAGUCCUGUGGCAUGAUAAUGGCUCACUGCAGCCUCAACCUUCGGGGCUCGAGCGAUCCUCCUGCCUCAACCUCCCUAGUAGCUGGGACUUCAGGUAUGCACUACGAUGUCUGGAUAAUUUAUUUUUACAUUUUCUGUAAAGACACAGUCUCGAAGUCCUGGGCUCAAAUGACCCUCCUGCCUCGGCCUCCCAAAGUGCUGGGAUUACAGGCGUGAGCCACCAUGCCUGGCCAAAUGCCCC